UCUCUAUGAUGAUGAACAAUUGAUGACGAGUCUGAUCCAUUCAUAAUCAUGACGACAUAUCGAGGCAUUUGUCUGAGAGGU